GAUGAACGCUGGCGGCGUGCCUAAUACAUGCAAGUCGAGCGAACGGACGAGAAGCUUGCUUUUCUGAUGUUAGCGGCGGACGGGUGAGUAACACGUGGAUGACCUACCUAUAAGACUGGGAUAACUUCGGGAAACCGGAGCUAAUACCGGAUAAUAUUUUGAACCGCAUGGUUCAAAAGUGAAAGACGGUCUUGCUGUCACUUAUAGAUGGAUCCGCGCUGCAUUAGCUAGUUGGUAAGGUAACGGCUUACCAAGGCAACGAUGCAUAGCCGACCUGAGAGGGUGAUCGGCCACACUGGAACUGAGACACGGUCCAGACUCCUACGGGAGGCAGCAGUAGGGAAUCUUCCGCAAUGGGCGAAAGCCUGACGGAGCAACGCCGCGUGAGUGAUGAAGGUCUUCGGAUCGUAAAACUCUGUUAUUAGGGAAGAACAUAUGUGUAAGUAACUGUGCACAUCUUGACGGUACCUAAUCAGAAAGCCACGGCUAACUACGUG
rnacentral:rRNA from 1 species